UACGGAGGGUCCGAGCGUUAUCCGGAAUUAUUGGGUUUAAAGGGUCCGUAGGCGGGCCGUUAAGUCAGGGGUGAAAUACUACGGCUCAACCGUGGAACUGCCCUUGAUACUGGCGGUCUUGAAUUAUAGUGAAGUUGCCGGAAUAUGUAGUGUAGCGGUGAAAUGCAUAGAUAUUACAUAGAACACCGAUUGCGAAGGCAGGUGACUAACUGUACAUUGACGCUGAUGGACGAAAGCGUGGGUAGCGAACGGG
rnacentral:rRNA from 1 species